rnacentral:lncRNA from 1 species
AAAAGCUGCGUUUCCUUCCUCCAGCGCCCAGCGUGCAGUACUGGCCACUAGAGGACAUCCCAGACCUGGGCAACUGCUGGCCCCAUUCACAAAGCCACGCUGACGCCAAGGUCCUAGUCUGCCUCGAUUCAAUAUUAGAGCUGACAGGUUUUUAGUAUUAACACUGAAGACAUGAAGAUGAGGAUGAUUCUUCUUUAGGACCUAAAAAAUAUCCGGUAAUCUACACUCAGACAAAAGGAUGGAAAAUUCUUCAUCUCGGAAACCAGCAUGGUGGUACCUACAGAAGCACAUUAGAUAUGACAAGGAUGCACAACAUGAAGAGACAACUCAUUUUCAGAGACUGCAGCAUGAGGAGCUCCGUUGAGGUUUCUUGGAGCAGCCCUCGUUCUGCAACUGGUGAAGCAAGACAGGGGAAGGGAGGGAGCAGAUUUCCACCUGAAUUUCUUCACGUGCUUGAAGACGAGGAGUUUCUGCUAACUGCUGCCAGGCCAGGAGCUGGGACUGCCCAAGCCACCGACACCCAGUGGUCCCAGACACGCAAACCAGCACCAGAACCCGAGCAAGUCUCCAGCUUCCUAGAGAAACAGCUUGCUCUUGUUACGUGGACACAGGGUGCCAAUACCACGGAGUCCCAAUCUAAACCAGGUCCCCUAGGCAUGGCAGGAAUAAGAAUCAUCAUCUCCAGAUUUCAUGGGUCUGGUUGAUCUGCAAGAAGCAAGACUGGGACUAACAAAUCUGUUGGUACUUUAACAUAUUUGUGCUUUUGUUCUUUCUGAGCUCCUUUCCACCAGCCUUACCUCAGUGUGACAGUCCUAGGGGUUGAGUAAGAGACCUUGGCUUUACCUGCCAUGGUGAGAUUUGAGCUGUCUUGUUAAAAGUUCAGCAUGCAGGGCUGGCUUUACUCUGACAAAGCCAUGCUGCCUCAAGGCAAUUCAAAAGGUACUGCAGAAGCCUGGAGAAAGCACCAUUUCUGCACUGUUUUUUUACAAAAAAAAAAAAAAAAAGUGGUGAGAGAUCUGUGAGCAUGGCUUUAAUGAGCUGCAAACAUGGCACAAUGAUUCAAUAUGAGCCAGAAAUUAGUCAGGCUGAGUAGCAAAAUGACACUUUCU